GUGCUGCUCUGGCAGCCCAUAUUCUAAAACGGGAACAAUACAAAGAAGAUUAGCACAGCCCCUACACAAGGAUGACAAGCAAAUCUGUAGAGCGUUCCAUAGUUUUU
ensembl:snRNA U6 U6 spliceosomal RNA